CCUUUAGACUUCGCUACUGCUUCUCUGCCGCCCCUCACCAGCCUUUGCAGUGCCCUGUGCCCUUGGAGGAGAGUCAGAAAGGAAGAGCCUGGGCCAGCUCCGCUCCUUUGGCGCAAGAGGACUUUGUCCUGAGGUGUGAGGAACCUGCCUGGGAUAAAAG